rnacentral:rRNA from 1 species
GACAGAGGUGGCAAGCGUUGUUCGGAAUUACUGGGCGUAAAGGGCGCGUAGGCGGCCUACUAAGUCAGACGUGAAAUCCCCCGGCUUAACCUGGGAACUGCGUCUGAUACUGGAAGGCUUGAGGAUGGGAGAGGGAUGUAGAAUUCCAGGUGUAGCGGUGAAAUGCGUAGAUAUCUGGAGGAAUACCGGUGGCGAAGGCGGCAUCCUGGACCAUUACUGACGCUGAGGCGCGAAAGCUAGGGGAGCAAACGGG